CUCCGAGGUGUGGCAAGGGGGCUACAAGGAGGGCUUGCAAGGGGCGCAGGGGAGCUUGCAAGCGGGUUGCAGUGGGAGGGGCUGCCAGGGGCCACAGGCAGCUUGCAGAGAUCCACGGCGUGGGCCACCCACCGCUCGGGACAGGGCUCCGGGCUCCUUCCCUUUGUCAGCCCAGGCUGGGAGCCUCCCGCCUCUGCUGGGGAUGCCUGUGCCCCGGCUACGGAGAGUGAGCCGGGCUCCCGGGCAGACUUUACCUCCUGGGAGAGCCACACGGGGAAAAGUUACUGGCCUGCGCCCCCGCCCCCCUUGUUCAGCCGCGGGCUGUUCAAUCCGGCCCCGGCUCUCUGCGGGGGCAAAGGUGUUUGCAGCUCUCAACCCCAGCCCGGCAAAGGCUCAGCCGGGAGGGGCUUUCAGAGCGGGGGUGGGGGCUUUCUCUGAGGCAUGUGCUGCAUGGCCUGCCUGGGAGCCUGAUCCGGCUGGGGGAGCACUCACUCCCCCGCGGUUGCUUUCGGAGGACAAGCCUUCCGGCGAGGGAAACACUCACCGCCCGGUUCCAGCGCAGCCGCACUCACCCCCAGGUCCAGGAGAAUGGAAAUGUGGCUACAACUUUCUUCCCCUUUAUUUUCCUGAGAUGCAUAUGAGGAGAACCCAGAGCAGCUGAGGACCCAGCCCUGUUACUCAACAAAGACAUUUAUUUGCCAGGUUUUAGCCUGAAGCAUAUAUAGAGAUCUAUCAACUGGGGCUCUAAAUAAAAGCACAGAGACUACAAACAUUUCUGAUUGCUUUUCUAUUCUUAAUCAUUAUAUUGCCAUGUAGUAAUUAAAAAAGCGUUGCUCAGUAAAUGUCACACACUGAAACAGAUGAUAUUUUAAGCUUCAAACACCUGGUGAUCCUGUUUCCUAGCUGUAUGUUAGAUACUGUCAAGGUUUAAUCGACUGAAGAAGAGAGAGGGAGUCCCAAAAUAUAGGAGAAACUCUAGGUCAUGCAUUUAAAAUAUUUCAAUCACGUAUUUUUACUUCUUAUACACUCUGCUGUAAAGCCAUUUAUACAGUUUGCAUAAAUGUCCUUCUAAAACUAACAUGUACAAUAAAUUAUAGUAAUUAU